UACUUGAAAUCCCUAAUUCAAAGACAGUUUUCAAAAACGUUUUUGAAGCUCAAGUAUUUUGGCUUUUAUACUCUUGCCAUUUCUCGGUAUCUCACCCUGUCUCACUAGCUCGCAUCCUCUCAUAGUCUCUUUGCGCCCUCUCUCGCUCGUGUCGCCGACGAAGGUGUCCAACGCCGCUGUUGAAGGUGAUCACUGCCGCCGUCGAAGGUGUCCAGGGCAGCCGUUGAAGCUUCCUUCCGGAGAAGAAGGUUAUUGGUUACAUAUGGGUGACGAUUCUCGCACCAUUGAGAACACGAGGGAACACGACGAGACCGUUUGCAAGCCCGACGAUGAUGAGGAACCAGGCUAUAACGCUUCAGGUUUUGCUGCCGCCUCUACACCAGGAGAAGCGAAGCUUGGUGUCGUGUCGCCAUUGAUCGAAGGCAUGCCGCUUCCGGUGUUGGUAGAGGUGUCUCACUGGCUGGCGGUGGAUGAGGCUUAUGGGGUCGUGGGUCUGAGGCUGAUAUUUCAGGGCAGAGUGAGGUUGAAGGCUGGGGCCAUCAAAAUUGCGCACUACGGAUUCUAUGUUAAGCGGAGUUACACCCUGCGAUGUCGAUCAAUGAUUAUCAUUUAUAUAAUAUGACCCUCCUCAAGCUACCUAUAUCUUGUUUUGUUUCUGUCUUCAAUUCACUGUAAUAAUGUCCUGCUACUCUUACUCUCUUUUAUUUUUCUUUUCUAAUCAGCAAUUAUAUUUAGAGCCAUAGGAGUUUGAGUUUUUUUUAAGGGGUUUGUUUUUCCAAUUGAAAGAAUUUCCAAGUCGCAGUGUCAAAGGUUGUGUUAUUAAUAUUAUUUAUUUUAAGGAACCAGCAGAAUGUAUUUGUGAGUUUGCAUUUGGGUUUGUAUAAAUUCAGCACCUAAGACUGGUGGUGAGGUAAGAUCAAAAUAAAACCCAUCCUCUUGGUCACCUUCAUUUUACUUUGUAAUCCUCCGUUUCCUUUUUCUUAAUUAUUUAAUUAGAACAAUUUAAUUGUGAGUUUGUGACAACUGACCCUUUCUCUGUGUACAUAGUUUUAAUGUAUCACGAUCCAUUAGGUAGCAGCACCUGGCAUUUGAAGAUAUGAUCUCUUGGAUGCGAGAAGGUGGCCAGGUUGGGAUAUUUGAUGCCACAAACAGUAGCAAAGAACGAAGAAACAUGCUGAUGAAAUUGGUUGAAGAAGAUGCAAGAUGCAAGGUCGUCCCUUUGGGCACAAGAUGAUCAAGGAAACCAAUACAAUCCAUUGUUGCAGAACCUUAGCUUUCAGCAGCAGAGCUCCACAUUGAAUGGACGUACACCUCUGUCCUCUGGCUUUGCAAAUUGUUCGGUAUUGAACUCUGCUACUCUGGGGCUUUCAGGUACUAGGUUCAGUGGAGGAUCGACUUCACAAGUGUUUAACAACCAAGCGCCUCAAUUUGCAAGCUUUUAAGUUUCAGGAUUGGUACAUAAUAUAUCAGUAUGCGGGAUAGUGAGAAGAAGUUAAACAACAAAGGAUCUAAAAAAUCCAGGCCUUUGAAGGUGCAUAAGAAGGGACAAGGGAAGAAGGAAGAAGUGAAAGUGGGAUCAAAAUCUCACACAAAAACUGCUUGCACUGAUAUAUCAAGGAAGAGAGUUAUCUCUUCUCUCAAGGUCAAAGGGCCACGUAAGGAAGAGAGUUAACUGUGGAGAAGGUUGGAAAGGUCAUAUGUAUGGGAUACUUCUUAAUUGAUUUUUCCUAUUGUUAUUAUAAGAAAGAAAGGUAUGCUCUAUGUCACUUGAAAUUUAUCACAUGAAAAAUUUAGGGGACCAUAUCAUUUAAAGGAAUUAUAAGUAUAUAAAUGGUUGGUUUAUUUAGUAUUACUUAAA